UGGAAUAUCACUGCUGACGUGUGGCUGUGAGGCUGACGAUCCUCCCCUUUCGGCGCAAACUUGUCACUGUGGCGCCAUGUUGUCCAAGCAUCCACCUCAGUAACCUGGAAAUUCAAUUCUAUUAAGUGGACUGGACUAUUGGUAUAUUGAAGUUUCAUGCUUCAACCAUUUGCCCAUGGAGUUCAUAAAUUCUGUUGAGAUCAUGUACAACAUUGUGGACGCAAUGAAGGCAGGGCCACCGGUGGAGCUGAAGAAUGCAAAGGUGGACAUGUAAAUGCGCUUGGUCAC